AACUUUUAACAAUGGAUCUCUUGGCUCCCACAUCGAUGAAGAACGCAGCGAAAUGCGAUAAGUAAUGUGAAUUGUAGAAUUCAGUGAAUCAUCGAAUCUUUGAACGCACCUUGCGCCUAGUGGCCUCGGCCCGGGCAUGCCUGUUUGAGCGCCACCUCAUCCUUGCUUCAGAACUUGUUUUUGAAGCAGACUUGGGCGUCUUGUCGAGUAAUCGACUCGCCCUGAAUGCAUUAGCCUGACUGUAGUCUGGAUCGACGUGAUAAGUAUUUCGUCGCACUAGAUCAAGGUCGAGCUUCGAAUCGUCCUCGGACAAUACACUUGCUUGGCAUCAAAUCAGGUAGGACUACCCGCUGAACUUAAGCAUAUCAAUAAGCGGAGGCU
rnacentral:misc_RNA from 1 species